rnacentral:rRNA from 1 species
AGUUGUAGAAUCACUGGUGAAUAAGGGGUGGGCAAGUUCUGGUGUCAGCCGCCGCGGUAAAACCAGCACCUCGAGUGGUCAGGAGGUUUAUUGGGCCUAAAGCAUCCGUAGCCGGUUGCAUAAGUUUUCGGUUAAAUCUAUGCGCUAAACGUAUAGGCCGCCGAAAAUACUGUGCAGCUAGGGAGUGGGAGAGGUACACGGUACUCGAUAGGAAGGGGUAAAAUCCUUUGAUCUAUUGAUGACCACCUGUGGCGAAGGCGGUGUACCAGAACACGUUCGACGGUGAGGGAUGAAAGCUGGGGGAGCAAACCGGAUUAGAUACCCGGGUAGUCCCAGCUGUAAACGAUGCAGACUCGGUGAUGCAUUGGCUUGUGGCCAAUGCAGUGCCGCAGGGAAGCCGUUAAGUCUGCCGCCUGGGAAGUACGUACGCAAGUAUGAAACUUAAAGGAAUUGGCGGGGGAGCACCACAAGGGGUGAAGCCUGCGGUUCAAUUGGAGUCAACGCCAGAAAUCUUACCUGGGGAGACAGCAGAACGAAGGUCAAGCUGAAGACUUUACCAGACACGCUGAGAGGUGGUGCAUGGCCGUCGCCAGCUCGUGCCGUGAGAUGUCCUGUUAAGUCAGGUAACGAGCGAGACCCCUGCGUCUAGUUGCUACCAUUACUCUCUGGAGCAGUGGAGCGAAUUAGACGGACCGCCACAGUUAAUGUGGAGGAAGGAAGGGGCCACGGCAGGUCAGUAUGCCCCGAAACCCUAGGGCUACACGCGGGCUGCAAUGGUAUUGACAAUGUGUUCCGAAUCCGAAAGGAGGAGGCAAUCAUCAAACAUAUCUCAGUUAUGACUGAGGGC